UCGAGAAUCUUUCGCAAUGCCCGAAAGGGUGACGAAGCGACGCCGCGUGUGGGAAGAAGGCCUUCGGGUUGUAAACCACUGUCGGGAGUUAGGAAAUGCAGGUGCGUUAAUAGCGCACUUGCUUGACUAAGGCUCCAGAGGAAGCCACGGCUAACUCUGUGCCAGCAGCCGCGGUAAUACAGAGGCGGCAAGCGUUGUUCGGAAUUAUUGGGCGUAAAGAGCACGUAGGCGGCCUUGCAAGUCAGUUGUGAAAGCCUUCCGCUUAACGGAAGAACGGCAUCUGAUACUACAGGGCUUGAGUACGGGAGGGGAGAGUGGAACUUCUGGUGGAGCGGUGAAAUGCGUAGAUAUCAGAAGGAACGCCGGCGGCGAAAGCGACUCUCUGGUCCGAAACUGACGCUGAGUGUGCGAAAGCUAGGGGAGCAAACGGGAUUAGAUACCCGGGGUA
rnacentral:rRNA from 1 species